rnacentral:sRNA from 2 species
CCAUGUUUCAUUCAUUCCGCCUACUCGGUCUACUACUUAACGCAUUCAGUUUGCGCGGUAGACUCGUGGGCAGAAUCAAACACUGAUUCGAACCUGCUGAAAGUUAAAAACCCGCGCCUUGCGCGGGUUUUUUU